UUCAAUGAUGAUCACCAUAUUCAAUGCAUAGUUCAACUGAAGAUCUUCGGAUUGCUGAACGACAACCAUAUACCAUCUUUCACCUUUGUCUGAAA
rnacentral:snoRNA from 1 species